CUCUCGCUAUUGUUUAUGUUAUUUUCUAUAAUCAAAUUUUUCUCACCUUCUCUCUUUCUCAAUGUAUCCUCUCCAUCAAGUUCAUGUGAAAUCAUGAAACCCAGAAGACUAAAUCAUUUUUCAUUUACUCAAUGAUUACUAGAAGGUUUCAUUGGUAGAUAUGAAGAAUCAAUUUGUUAUAGAUGAUUGCAAAUCUGAAGAACUAGCGCCACCAGUACCACAUCUGAAAGUCUCCACAAAUUCACCACCAACACAUGUCAACUUGAAUCGUCCACUGGCGCACCUCAAAACCUCUUGACACCAUCACAUCCCAGACCCUCUGGCCACCGCCAUGGUUUUGUUGCCCCACGCCUAUCGUCGCUCCAUCGCUCCAUCAAUGUCGAUAUCAAUAUUUAAUAAAUCAAUUGAUAUAUGUUAUUGUAUUUAUGUGUUUGUUAUGAUUUUUAAAAAUAGAAAAUUAUAUUUAUUUCA